rnacentral:lncRNA from 1 species
CCCCUCUGCAUAGGAGAUCAGCUAGUUCUGGAGGAGGAUUAUAAUGAGACCUACAUUUUAAGUGAGGAAGAAAUUCUUGAAUUUGCCCUGGAGAUUGGUAUUGAUCCCAUCAAGGAAACAGAACUGAUGUGGCUGGCAUGGGAGGGCAUUGUGGCCCCACUGCCUGGGGAGUGGAAACUAUGCCAGGACAUGGGGGGUGACAAAUAUUUUUUCAACUUUGCCAACAGGCAGUCUAUAUGGGACCAUCCACAUGACAAACACUAUCAGAACCUGGUGAUCUGAGAGUGGGCAAAGCUGUCAACUCUGGGGUCAUUAAGAAGAAGAAGAAAAAGGAAAAGAAAGACAAGGAGGACAAAAAAGACCCCCAAAAGUCCCCUGGCCCUGGGUUCCUCGUUAGCCCCAGUUCAUGUUCCUCUUG